rnacentral:rRNA from 1 species
AUUGGUAGGAGGUGACGGCUGAGCCUGCGCUUAAGUGCGCGGUGAGGUUGCUGCUUUCGCUACGCCGAUAAUUCUUACACACACUGGAGUUUUAUUCUACAGUAUCGGGAGUGGUAAAACACGCCCAACACAAAACACAAACAACAUUUUUUAUUUUUUACAGUCAUUCAAAAUCUGCUUUAUUGCAGUAACCAAAAUAUUCAAAACUUUCAACAACGGAUCUCUUGGUUCUCGCAUCGAUGAAGAACGCAGCGAAAUGCGAUACGUAAUGUGAAUUGCAGAAUUCCGUGAAUCAUCGAAUCUUUGAACGCACAUUGCGCCCCUUGGUAUUCCAGGGGGCAUGCCUGUUUGAGCGUCAUUUCCUUCUCAAAUACUUGUAUUUGGUUGUGAGUGACACUCAGUUUCAUAUUGAGUUAACUUGAAAUUGUUGGCCGUAGCGGUCACUGCAGCUUUAGUUUUUUCUGUUAUGGUAUUAUUCUUUACUAUUAAACAGGGGACUGAGCAUGUCGUAUUAGGUUUUACCAACUCCGGCAGACUCUGGUUUCUUGGAAGGAUAUAUUUGCAGAGAGUUCUAGCACAGUGCCCUGGCAAACAGUACUCUUUAAGUUUGACCUCAAAUCAGGUAGGAAUACCCGCUGAACUUAAGCAUAUCAAUAAGCGGAGGA